AGCCGCGGUAAUUCCAGCUCCAAUAGCGUAUAUUAAAGUUGUUGCAGUUAAAAAGCUCGUAGUUGAAUUUCGGGGUUAGUAGGUUGGUCAUGCCUCUGGUAUGUACUGGUCUCACUGAUUCCUCCUUCCUGAUGAGCCGUAAUGCCAUUAAUUUGGUGUUGCGGGGAAUUUGGACUGUUACUUUGAAAAAAUUAGAGUGUUUAAAGCAAGCUAACGCUUGAAUACAUUAGCAUGGAAUAAUGAAAUAGGACGUUCGAUCCUAUUUUGUUGGUUUCUAGGAUUGACGUAAUGAUUAAUAGGGAUAGUUGGGGGCAUUAGUAUUCAAUUGUCAGAGGUGAAAUUCUUGGAUUUAUUGAAGACUAACUACUGCGAAAGCAUUUGCCAAGGAUGUUUUCAUUAAUCAAGAACGAAAGUUAGGGGAUCGAAGACGAUCAGAUACCGUCGUAGUCUUAACCAUAAACUAUGCCGACUAGGGAUCGGAUGAUGUUAAUUUUUUAAUGACUCAUUCGGCGCCUUACG
rnacentral:ncRNA from 2 species